rnacentral:rRNA from 1 species
GACGAACGCUGGCGGCACGCCUAACACAUGCAAGUCGAGCGGAGAUUGAGAGCUUGCUCUCAUGAUCAGCGGCGGACGGGUGAGUAACACGUGAGCAACCUGCCUUUCAGAGGGGGACAACAGUUGGAAACGACUGCUAAUACCGAAUACGCUUGGGAGACCGCAUGAUCUACCAAGGAAAGGGUGGCCUCUACCUGUAAGCUAUCGCCUGAAGAGGGGUUUGCGUCUGAUUAGGCAGUUGGUGAGGUAACGGCCCACCAAACCUACGAUCAGUAGCCGGUCUGAGAGGAUGAACGGCCACACUGGAACUGAGACACGGUCCAGACUCCUACGGGAGGCAGCAGUGGGGAAUCUUCCGCAAUGGGCGAAAGCCUGACGGAGCAACGCCGCGUGAGUGAUGACGGCCUCGGUUGUAAG